rnacentral:rRNA from 1 species
UACGAAGGGGGCUAGCGUUGCUCGGAAUCACUGGGCGUAAAGCGCACGUAGGCGGAUUGGUCAGUUAGGGGUGAAAUCCUGGAGCUCAACUCCAGAACUGCCUUUAAUACUGCCAGUCUCGAGUCCGGAAGAGGUAAGUGGAACUCCUAGUGUAGAGGUGGAAUUCGUAGAUAUUAGGAAGAACACCAGUGGCGAAGGCGGCUUACUGGUCCGGUACUGACGCUGAGGUGCGAAAGCGUGGGGAGCAAACAGG